AGAUUCACUCCAGUUCACCCCAGUUAUUAUGAAGCACGAUGAUUGAACAUUACAAAGAAAAUCAAAUAAACAGAAAGUUAUUUUAAAGAUAAAUAAGAUUUCUCUAAAUGUCACUUUAUGUUUCUAUUAAACGAUAAAGUGUUUAUUUUUUAGAAGACCUGAAACUAAAAUAUAAUGUUCAUUCUAUCAAUAUGUGUUUUUUUGAGUCAAUGUAAAACUCAGUUGUACAAAAUAUGUCUCAUACAAAACAUUAAUUAAUUAAUAUUAACAUUUUUCUUUUUUCUUUUCUUUUUAUUUUACUUUGGAAACAAGCUAACAAGCUGAGAACAAAGUCUUUGAAACAAUAAACAUAAAAGUGAUUUAAAAUAACUUUAUACCAUUGAAAUACUUUUAGUUUGACAAUGAAGAAAUUUAAGUUCAAUUCAUUUCAAAAAAAAAAUAAGAGAAUUUUAUUUUCUCUUUUUACCACUAAAAAUACAUUAAGACAUUAUUGAAGCUACUGUAAGAAAACAAUUUUCACUGUUUCAAACAUUUAACAAUUAAUCAUUUCAGAUCAUACACAAGAUAACAUUUACAUGAAAUGACAUGUGCACCAAAACAUUUAGCACUUUUCUUAGCCUAAAUAAACUUUUUUAUUGUUUGUAUCGACGACAUCUUCUUUCAUCCUUAAACUUUUUUUCCUCUCUUUUUUUAACUUCAUUCUCUUUCUUGUAAUUAAAAAAGUCAUGAUGUAGAGAUAUAAUGACUAUAAACAUUUUGUUUCACAAAAAAAUUUAAAACUCCUAAAAAAAACCUCAAGGAGUGAUUCCAGUUGAUCAGACUUAUUUAAGGAGGAGUUUAUGCAAAUCUGACAUUUCCAGUUUCUUCUUAUAUGAAUCAAAGUUCAGUGAUUCAAUCUGACAAAGAAGCUGCAGACAGAACAAAGACAAAUGACUCCAACAAUGAUCAGACCUGUUUGUUUGCUGCUUUUUCUCUUUUUCUUUGGUGUCUUACCUGGUAUCAGGGGUCAAACACUGACUGAGUCUGAAUCAGUGGUUAAAAGACCUGGAGAAUCCCACAAACUGACUUGUACAUAUUCAGGGUUUAGUAGUGAUCCUUAUAUAGCUUGGAUCAGACAGGCUGCUGAAAAAGGACUGGAGUGGAUCGCUUAUAUUAACCCUGGCAGCAGCGGCAUCUACUACUCAGAGUCAGUGAAAAACCGCUUCACCAUCUCCAGAGACAACAGCAGAAAGCAGGUGUAUCUGCAGAUGAACAGUCUGAGAGCUGAGGAUUCUGCUGUUUAUUACUGCGCUCGAGAGACACAGUGACUCAAGAGACACAAACUCUGUACAAAAACAC